rnacentral:rRNA from 1 species
CCUAUAAGACUGGGAUAACUUCGGGAAACCGGGGCUAAUGCCGGAUAAUAUUUAGAACCGCAUGGUUCUAAAGUGAAAGAUGGUUUUGCUAUCACUUAUAGAUGGACCCGCGCCGUAUUAGCUAGUUGGUGGGGUAAUGGCUCACCAAGGCAACGAUACGUAGCCGACCUGAGAGGGUGAUCGGCCACACUGGAACAGAGACACGGUCCAGACUCCUACGGGAGGCAGCAGUAGGGAAUCUUCCGCAAUGGGCGAAAGCCUGACGGAGCAACGCCGCGUGAGUGAUGAAGGUCUUCGGAUCGUAAAACUCUGUUAUUAGGGAAGAACAAAUGUGUAAGUAACUGUGCACGUCUUGACGGUACCUAAUCAGAAGGCCACGGCUAACUACGUGCCAGCAGCCGCGGUAAUACGUAGGUGGCAAGCGUUAUCCGGAAUUAUUGGGCGUAAAGCGCGCGUAGGCGGUUUCUUAAGUCUGAUGUGAAAGCCCACGGCUCAACCGUGGAGGGUCAUUGGAAACUGGGAAACUUGAGUGCAGAAGAGGAAAGUGGAAUUCCAUGUGUAGCGGUGAAAUGCGCAGAGAUAUGGAGGAACACCAGUGGCGAAGGCGACUUUCUGGUCUGUAACUGACGCUGAUGUGCGAAAGCGUGGGGAUCAAACAGGAUUAGAUACCCUGGUAGUCCACGCCGUAAACGAUGAGUGCUAAGUGUUAGGGGGUUUCCGCCCCUUAGUGCUGCAGCUAACGCAUUAAGCACUCCGCCUGGGGAGUACGACCGCAAGGUUGAAACUCAAA